rnacentral:lncRNA from 1 species
UUUGUGGAUUUAUUUAAAAGUUAAAACCCUAACAUUCUUCUCUUGUCCUCCGGUUGAUAAUUUAAAGGAAAAAAAGAUGAGAGAAUUGGUGAUUUCCAGCUUGAAAUUGAAGCAACUUUGGAGAAAUCAAUUACGCUGACAAGAAAAUGAAAAUUGUGCAGAAUUAGAAGCAAUGGGGCUCAUGGAACGUUUACACAAAGAUGGACGGGUUGUUGUCGACGGUUCAUGGCUCACUGCAGAGGAUCAUAUAUAACAGCAUAGGGUAAAACAUAAGACAAACAAUAAUAAUUUCAGUCUCACACUAGCUUCUUGUCAUUAUGUUAUAUGCAUGCUGGUAUUCAAUUCAUACAUUCCCAUUUGUUGACACUAAAGAAGCAGUAGCUGUUAAUGAUGACAGAGUCGAACCAUUAUAUGGACAUUUGUGGACAUCUCUACGUUUACAUUAC